ACGUGAGCAACCUGCCCCUGACUCUGGGAUAAGCGCUGGAAACGGCGUCUAAUACUGGAUAUGUGACGUGAUCGCAUGGUCUGCGUCUGGAAAGAAUUUCGGUUGGGGAUGGGCUCGCGGCCUAUCAGCUUGUUGGUGAGGUAAUGGCUCACCAAGGCGUCGACGGGUAGCCGGCCUGAGAGGGUGACCGGCCACACUGGGACUGAGACACGGCCCAGACUCCUACGGGAGGCAGCAGUGGGGAAUAUUGCACAAUGGGCGCAAGCCUGAUGCAGCAACGCCGCGUGAGGGACGACGGCCUUCGGGUUGUAAACCUCUUUUAGCAGGGAAGAAGCGAAAGUGACGGUACCUGCAGAAAAAGCGCCGGCUAACUACGUGCCAGCAGCCGCGGUAAUACGUAGGGCGCAAGCGUUAUCCGGAAUUAUUGGGCGUAAAGAGCUCGUAGGCGGUUUGUCGCGUCUGCUGUGAAAUCCGGAGGCUCAACCUCCGGCCUGCAGUGGGUACCGGCAGACUAGAGUGCGGUAGGGGAGAUUGGAAUUCCUGGUGUAGCGGUGGAAUGCGCAGAUAUCAGGAGGAACACCGAUGGCGAAGGCAGAUCUCUGGGCCGUAACUGACGCUGAGGAGCGAAAGGGUGGGGAGCAAACAGGCUUAGAUACCCUGGUAGUCCACCCCGUAAACGUUGGGAACUAGUUGUGGGGUCCAUUCCACGGAUUCCGUGACGCAGCUAACGCAUUUAGUUCCCCGCCUGGGGAGUACGGCCGCAAGGCUAAAACUCAAAGGAAUUGACGGGGACCCGCACAAGCGGCGGAGCAUGCGGAUUAAUUCGAUGCAACGCGAAGAACCUUACCAAGGCUUGACAUAUACGAGAACGGGCCAGAAAUGGUCAACUCUUUGGACACUCGUAAACAGGUGGUGCAUGGUUGUCGUCAGCUCGUGUCGUGAGAUGUUGGGUUAAGUCCCGCAACGAGCGCAACCCUCGUUCUAUGUUGCCAGCACGUAAUGGUGGGAACUCAUGGGAUACUGCCGGGGUCAACUCGGAGGAAGGUGGGGAUGACGUCAAAUCAUCAUGCCCCUUAUGUCUUGGGCUUCACGCAUGCUACAAUGGCCGGUACAAAGGGCUGCAAUACCGUGAGGUGGAGCGAAUCCCAAAAAGCCGGUCCCAGUUCGGAUUGAGGUCUGCAACUCGACCUCAUGAAGU
rnacentral:rRNA from 1 species